rnacentral:lncRNA from 1 species
UUUGGUAACCACGGAUAUGAGUCUGGCGGAGGCAUGACACAGUUGUCGCCGUUGAAGUAGAUGCGCCGUGGAAAGGCCCAUCCCUUUUCGAAAGUAAAAGUUGAUGGAUCCUUCUUGAAUAGAAGUUCCGACUGUACAUUUCCAUAAGGUCCAGCUUCCAUGAGCAAGUCAUUGUAGUACUUGACACCCCAUAGCAUUGCAGUAUCAUCUGUGACAUGAAAAGCAUUUAAGAUUAUGAUCACGGAAGAGGAAGAAAAUAGUAAGCAACAUGUACUCCAGGUUUGUAAUUCUUUUUGAGUCAAUAAGAAAGAAAUAUGCACAUAUAUGAGGUAGAUCAAUAGAGGCAAACUUAAAUCAUAAGGUGUUCUUGCAAAAUUAGAUAACAGAGUUAGAGUCAUCAUGACUAUAGGGAUAAUAUUCAUCCACUAACAGUUCCAUGAUACAAAUAAGAGGAAAAUCCAGAGUGGCCUUAGAAAAGUAAAAUUGAAUCGAAGAAACUUACUUAUUCCCCCAUAUGGUGUCAACGACUUGUAAUUGAAGCUAAAGAGUUGAGUGAGAUUGUCAAGAUUCGGAUGCUGGAUGACAAGGUUCCACUGCGUAUAAUUCAUCCGGUAGUUGAAAUUUGUUAUUGCAAUCUUCACGCGCCAGUAUUCCUUGUAGUUAAGUUUAACGUGCCAAUGCACUCUUACGGGGCACAUAUGUGAUGUACACUGGACCAGCGGUGUGAAGCUGUUUU